AUCAAUACCUACCUUCACUCUUAACAUCUAAUGAAUUUGGUCCUAUAUUGAGCCCUUAUAAAAUCUUGGCACACCUAUUAUUCACAAAAGUGGAAGGGAUAUCUCGAAAGUAUUGGUAUCAUGGGAUUCAUUGCUAGAGGCUGAAAAUUCGUGGAACAAAUCAGAAGACACGAAGAAGGUGAUAAGUAUUCAAUAUGAGUUAGUUUUGGUGUUAAUUUGGUAUUUAUCUUGUUUGGAUUAUGUUAAAUAUUUAUAGUAAUCAUCCCAAUUUUACUUGUUUUGCAGGUUUUGAUGAAUAGAGAGUCAAAGGUGAAAUAUGAAGAAAACAAAGGAAUUAUAAGCAAAAUAUAACAAACUGACUUGAGCGCGACUGUAGCGUGGAAUUUGAGGCUUGAACCACACGAAGAAACUCAUCUUGGAAGGAAACCUCAAGCUCUGACCUGAGGUUAAAACCAUGAAAAAUAUUUCUCCUAGAAGUUAUCUCAAAGGGCUCCAGCAUAGAAGCACAAGGCCUAAGCCAUAUAAAAAGUCCACCUUGGGAGGAAACCUCACAACUAGAGUCAUGACGCCACUGCUGAAGCCACACUUUGGAAUGUCUAUAAAAACAUAAUUUCCUCUCUGUUUUGAGAGAGCCUUCUGGAGACUUUUUGCCAGACUGUCUAAAGAGAUUUAGAGAGAGACUUUAGAGAGUCUUCUCACAUACUUCCUUUAUAUUUUAAAGAACAUCAUUAGAGGACUAAGAGAUGACACUACAAGAAAUAUGCAAAUUACCGAAGGAAAACUACCGAAGGUCUCUAUGCCGUCGGUAAAGGAUUGGUGAAUUAAUUUACCGAAGGAUAUAUGACCCUCGGUAAGGUGCUCGAGUAAUCAGACUCCAAACCUGGGUUUCUGCUCGCCCAAAUUUCAUUUCGAGCCAAAAUUUCUCUUGCUUUCUUUGAGAGUUCGGACCCUCGCAACCAUUCCCCUUCCUUCGAGCCAAAUACACCUUCCGUUUAGCCAGAGAACCCUCGCCCNCANCAAGACAACCCUCGGCCAAGCAUUCUCCCUCGUUCGUGCAAGCAGUCGCAGACCCCCAUCUUUGGUGGCACUUGGUUCUGUCGUUGGAGGGUUCAUUUGCACAGAGGCACUUCGUUGGAGGGUUUCGCAGAGUGUNCAUCUCUUUCCCUCACGUGCAGAGGUAGAGCCAUUNGUAGAGGAUCAUUCGCAUAAUCGGUAAGUGUGUCAACGAUUUUCUUGAUUUCUUGUGGUCAAGGGUUGGUCNUCAAUGAUUGACACUAUGCUUAGUAAAUAUUGGUUGAGGGACUUUGCUACGAGGUUUUGGAGCUCACUUUUCCUUUGCUAUCGUGGUGAACGAAGGUUGCCGAAGUCCACCUUGCAUUCUUCGAGGGAGGCUGUGGAGAGUUCCUGCUGUGGAGAGUUCCUACUGUGGAGGCCAUUGGUGAGGCACGUUGAAGGUGAACAGAGACGUGAUUCUUUACUGCAACUUGAUUAGUUGGUGUGUNCAUAUUUCCCUUUGCUGUAUUAGGUAGUCCAUUCAAGCUGUCAUUGAGGAAUCACACCGAAGUUUUUGUGAUCCUAGACUCUAGAUGCCAAGGGUGGACCUAAAGUUCCAUUCAAAGAGAACUCUUUUGAUUACUUGCAGCAUCAUAUUUAAUAAUAAAACCAUUACAAGAAAGGGAUAAAGUGGUGCAAUCAAACUUCAACACAUUUAAAUCAUCUAGAAGUCAAUCAAUUUUAAUCCAAACUGUUUUAUAACGUCUUUUACUUUGUUUUCAUGAACCAACUUUGUUUGUAUAUCUUACAACCCAUUUAUUGUUUUAUCAACAAUCAAACUAGUUAGAACAUUGUGUUUUCGACCAAAUUCAUGUGAAUAUGACACUUGUUAUAUUACAAAAUAUUUAGUAUAGUUGUUGGUAUAUUUGAUUGUUGUGUGGGCUCCUAAUAGAAGGCUUAUCCAAACUUCAACCUCGAGGACAAGUUUAUUUUCAAAAAGGAGAGUAUUAUAACAAAUAUUAAAAAAGGUGUUAUGAAGGAGGGUGAGUGGGUUAAGCAUAUUGGCUACCUGACUAACAGAGAAAACAAAAAGGGUGCAUCCCAACUCUCGUGGUUAUGAUUUCAGAUUUUUCUCUUAUUGAAUGCACAAUGAAUGAGAAUGUCUAAGACUUGGAUACUUUAUGACAUUUAUCCCUUGUGGAAUUAGUUUUUAUUUUCUAAAAGCUUGCUAAAACCAUGAGUUGGUUUUUCAUAUAUAUUGGAAUAAAUAUUUAUCCUAUUUUGCUGCAAGACAAUUUUUAGAAUUUUUUACUGUUUUAUUGGUUUAGCAUUAUUCUAGUGACUCUUCCUAAGAGACAAGAAGGUAUAUUUAGGGUCGUAUUUUCUUCAAAUAAGUUAGAUAUAUAGAGUAUUCAUUUUUUGAUAUUCACCCAUUUGAGAUUGCAUUACAAGAAAAAGGUUUGAAUUUCACACCUUCCAAUCCUACUUGUUAUAUAUUUUUCUU